GAAAUGCGAUAAGUAAUGUGAAUUGCAGAAUUCAGUGAAUCAUCGAAUCUUUGAACGCACAUUGCGCCCGCCAGAAUUCUGGCGGGCAUGCCUGUUCGAGCGUCAUUUCAACCCUCGAGCUCCCCUUGCGGGGGGAGCCCGGCGUUGGGGACGCGGCGCCAACAGCGCCGGCCCCGAAAUGGAGUGGCGGCCCGUCCGCGGCGACCUCUGCGUAGUAACAUCCACUCGCACCGGGACCCGGGCGCGGCCACGCCGUAAAACACCCCACCUUCCGAAUGUUGACCUCGAAUCAGGUAGGAAUACCCGCUGAACUUAA
rnacentral:misc_RNA from 1 species